rnacentral:rRNA from 1 species
UACGAAGGGGGCUAGCGUUGUUCGGAAUCACUGGGCGUAAAGGGCGCGUAGGCGGCCGAUCAAGUCGGGGGUGAAAGCCUGUGGCUCAACCACAGAAUUGCCUUCGAUACUGUUUGGCUUGAGACCGGAAGAGGUUAGUGGAACUGCGAGUGUAGAGGUGAAAUUCGUAGAUAUUCGCAAGAACACCAGUGGCGAAGGCGGCUGACUGGUCCGGUUCUGACGCUGAGACGGCGAAAGCGUGGGGAGCAAACACGG